rnacentral:rRNA from 1 species
GCUUACGGCCAUAUCAGCCUGGGUACGCCUGAUCUCGUCUGAUCUCGGAAGCUAAGCAGGGUCGGGCCUGGUUAGUACUUGGAUGGGAGACCGCCUGGGAAUACCAGGUGCUGUAAGCA